CUGUCUUCAGUCUGGUUCAGUCGUGUUGUUUGGUAGGAGCUGACAGAAGUGGCAUAGUUUGCUGUUUCACUGGCCUGUGACUGUGGCUGAAGCCAUGGGGUUUCUCUUGAGAUGGUUUCUGUUGUCCUUGCUAGCUGUUGGAAGGCAUCAAGCGAGUGGUUCUGGAUCUGCUGAGAAGCAUGAAGAUAAUGAAGUGCCAGUUGCAGUCUAUCGACCAUAUUCAAGUGGCUUUAAAACUGGAGACGGGUCUUCAUUGAGCACUAACCUUCUUGGUGGUGGUUCAACCUCAAAGGCAAAAGGCUACAACACACAACUAAUUGCGGGUUACCAGUCUGAAGCUAAAUCUCAGCAACCACAUGAUCAAUCUGUGCCAGAAAACCAAUAUUCAUCAAAUGAUCCUCAACAGCCACAGGUAGCAGAGUCUUGGUACCAGCGGCAGGUGCCCCAGGUUCCUCAAACGGCUAGAGAUCCUCUCCAGCAGCCUCCGCAGACUAGCUAUCUUCCCCAGCGGCUUGUGAAGGUUCCCCAGCGUGCCAGCCAUCUUCCCCAGCA